rnacentral:lncRNA from 1 species
GGGGGAUCAAGAAUGCCCGGGCAUCAGAAACAUCCUGGUCAGGGACAGCGUGGCUCCAUCUCGGUGGCCCCAGCACCUCGCGUGGCCCGUGGAAUGGGCUCCCGAAAUCUGCGCGGACCAGACGGCUCCUUCACUGCCCCGCUCCACCCCCAGCUCUCCUCAUCCCUCCGAGACUCACGGGGCCAAAUCAACGCUCUUUAUUUGGGCCUAUGCCCCGCUUUCUCCGUCGUCCUCGUCCACACCUGGGCCGAGUUUGGGAAUUCCGGACAACCACUUACAGACCACUGGAGCCCUUGCAGACUUCCUCCGGAAUCAUAAUACCCCAAGGCCAUUUAAACGUCGCCUGAAACCAAGCCAGUGCCCCGCUCCUGUCCCUCGCUCACCUCCCGACGAUGUUUAAUUUUUCUCUAAAUGAACUUGCACAGUGUCACACCGCAGUCCGGCACCUUGGAACAUCCCUAUCCCGAUCUGUGAGCAGCUGACAUGCGGCGCGGUGGCACCGCUUCCUCUGAGGACAUUUUCCCGUAAUGUCGCUGAUUAAAAUACAGCUGACUGCGGGGAGGCCGCGGCGCUCCAGCCAGCCGGGGUGAGCCAGCGAAACGCAGAGAUAAUGAAUAAUGGUUUGUGGCAAAACUGAUAAUGCACCCGCUAUUAUAUCGACCGGGGCUGCGGCUUCAGUUAAUCGCGCUAAAUUGCUGGGCUGGAGCUGUGUUCUGCUGGAGGCCUGGCUGCUGCCCUUUCUCCUUUGAAAAUGUCCAUUUGUCUGGAGCUGGGUUCUUAUUCCUUCCUCCUGUCACUCCAUUCAAAUGAGCUGGCUAUUUUUGCCGGUGGCCGCCGUGGGAGUGCGAGUUUGGAACGCGGCGGAGCUGUGCGUGCCAUCUGCUGGCGCGUGUGCCCACCUCCCGUGGGGGUGCGCGCCACGUGCGCUGGGUGCCCCGCAGAUGAACCAGGAGCUUGUGGUCCAGGGGAGGAGUCGGCCCCCACCCAGAGCACUGGUGCCGCCUGCUGAGGGCUUCGGCUCUGUGGCCGGUCUAGGGGUGGGUUCGAAUCCGGACUCCUCCACUUUGUAGCCGUGAGGACUUGGACCCCAGCCCCUCGACUAUAAGGUGGCGAUGCUCCUGUAACCACGUUCGAGUGUCAUGGCAUUAAAUGGGCCACGAAAGGGGACGGCAUAGCACUGUGCUGGGUACAAAGUGAGCUCCGGCUACGUGGGCCUCAUGGCAGGGAGGCCUGUGCAAGGAUCACAGGGUGCAGAGGGAGCAGUGACUACUGCCUCGAAGGUCCCGGUGGCUUCAUGGAGGAGGUGAUCAGGAGCUAA